GAUGAACGCUGGCGGCGUGCCUAAUACAUGCAAGUCGAGCGAACAGACGAGGAGCUUGCUCCUCUGACGUUAGCGGCGGACGGGUGAGUAACACGUGGAUAACCUACCUAUAAGACUGGGAUAACUUCGGGAAACCGGAGCUAAUACCGGAUAAUAUAUUGAACCGCAUGGUUCAAUAGUGAAAGACGGUUUUGCUGUCACUUAUAGAUGGAUCCGCGCCGCAUUAGCUAGUUGGUAAGAUAACGGCUUACCAAGGCGACGAUGCGUAGCCGACCUGAGAGGGUGAUCGGCCACACUGGAACUGAGACACGGUCCAGACUCCUACGGGAGGCAGCAGUAGGGAAUCUUCCGCAAUGGGCGAAAGCCUGACGGAGCAACGCCGCGUGAGUGAUGAAGGUCUUCGGAUCGUAAAACUCUGUUAUUAGGGAAGAACAAAUGUGUAAGUAACUAUGCACGUCUUGACGGUACCUAAUCAGAAAGCCACGGCUAACUACGU
rnacentral:rRNA from 1 species